CUUUCUUCUCACGUGGGCAGAUUCAAGCGACAGCAGAACCAAACUACAAUGUACAAUGGAGAGCGGCUAUCAUGGAGGUAGACCCAGAUUGAGUGAUGAAGACGUCUGCAAAAUGGUUGCGUUGCAUGACCCUGUACGACACGGUUUCUCCAUGGAGGAUCCUUUGGAAGAUAACUUGUUCAACUUAGAAAUAACUGAGAGGAUUGGUAUGGGGUGACGCCACAGCUUCUAUCUGGAUUUGUGCAACUGUGAUGCUAUCCCACGACAGCCCAGCCUCUGAAAGGCAUGCAAGACAUAAACUGGAGUUGGAUCAGUGGCAGUGGACACACCAUGGGCAAAUCUUCGUCAACGCCUCCAUUUUGUGUACAUGGGGAGGCUAUGAGGAACAUGGGUGGAGAGGAUACCUGUAUUGAGGAGAGGAUGAAAUGGAGGUUACAGCCCGAGGACCAAACAGAUACCAUUGGGGAAAAAGUCUCCUGGACUUCAAGGAUGGAGGCCCAAGAGGACCACAGCAUCGUAGGCUUGGUCUAAUCUUUAAGACCAAACCAGCAGAUGUCUCAAACUGUUGAUUUUGUCCUUCAUUAGGUUUGCCCGUUCAGUUCUGAAGUGUGGGUGGUUUAUCAAAGGUGUGAAUGACUGUCUGUUAUGGUUUGUGGUCAUAUUGUAUGAUGUGUGUUGCAGGAUUUUCUCUUAUUGGACAUGAAUAUAUUUGAAGUUAUUUGUGUCCUUGUUGGUGGUGUGUGUAUGAAUGAGGAUCUGUGUACUGCAAUUUAAAAAAAAUAAAAAAGUUUUUCUGACUAUUCCC
ensembl:lncRNA